AUUAGAGUUUGAUCCUGGCUCAGAUUGAACGCUGGCGGCAGGCUUAACACAUGCAAGUCGAGCGGUAGCACAGGGGAGCUUGCUCCCUGGGUGACGAGCGGCGGACGGGUGAGUAAUGUCUGGGAAACUGCCUGAUGGAGGGGGAUAACUACUGGAAACGGUAGCUAAUACCGCAUAACGUCGCAAGACCAAAGAGGGGGACCUUCGGGCCUCUUGCCAUCAGAUGUGCCCAGAUGGGAUUAGCUAGUAGGUGGGGUAAUGGCUCACCUAGGCGACGAUCCCUAGCUGGUCUGAGAGGAUGACCAGCCACACUGGAACUGAGACACGGUCCAGACUCCUACGGGAGGCAGCAGUGGGGAAUAUUGCACAAUGGGCGCAAGCCUGAUGCAGCCAUGCCGCGUGUGUGAAGAAGGCCUUCGGGUUGUAAAGCACUUUCAGCGAGGAGGAAGGUGGUGAGCUUAAUACGCUCAUCAAUUGACGUUACUCGCAGAAGAAGCACCGGCUAACUCCGUGCCAGCAGCCGCGGUAAUACGGAGGGUGCAAGCGUUAAUCGGAAUUACUGGGCGUAAAGCGCACGCAGGCGGUUUGUUAAGUCAGAUGUGAAAUCCCCGGGCUCAACCUGGGAACUGCAUUUGAAACUGGCAAGCUAGAGUCUCGUAGAGGGGGGUAGAAUUCCAGGUGUAGCGGUGAAAUGCGUAGAGAUCUGGAGGAAUAC
rnacentral:rRNA from 1 species